ACUAGUGUAAACGGGGCCUAAUAGGUUAAUCAUGCUAGCGUGAGCGAAGAGAAGACACGUUGCUGUGCGUUUUAUGGAAAAAGGAGGCUUAAUCCUGCACAAUUUAUUUAAUAGAACCCUUUGGGAAAGCGGAGCGAGUUUCACGGUGCUACGCAACGAAAGUUUAAUGGCUCUCGUCUUGAGCAUAAUAAAGAAUCAAGCACCCGUCA